UGCAAUCCAUUAACUCAAUAAUACUGGGAAUGAAACACCGAUAGACUCAAAAAAGAGUGGCUGAAAAAUUUGUGACAGCAAAAACAGAAGAAAAAGCAAAAGAAUCGGAACUGAAAACCAAGGAGGAGCUGAAGCCCUGGGAGCAGCGCUCUGUUGUGAUCACCAUUCCUCGUUUUGACUACAACGCCUCUUCUUCUCUCCUCAGUCAUUCCCACUCCGGAUUCCUCAUCACCUGCCCCAUCAAGAGGGAGAAGAGUGCAACAAAAGAAGCCAUGUCAAUUCUUGAAAAGCUAAGAAGAGGAGAAUAUCUGUAAGUACAGAGGAGGAACUUGGCAAUAGUUUGGAGAGGAAAGAUGCGGCCGAUGACUUUGGAGAACCUGGUAACAGUUUAAGUCUGGUAUUUUAGUUUAUACACAUGCUCAUACAGAUAAUGCAAAUUAACAUGUAUAACUACCUGCAAUCUACAAAGAAAAUGAAGAGGGUGCGGAUUUGUCUGUAAGAACAGGUAAUAUGACUUGUAUGCAUGAAAAAAUAAUAAGAAGUUUAUUAAAACAAUAUGUGACUAUAAAAAUAGGAAAUGAGAAGUAAAUAGAAGGAGAAGAGUAAAGAAAGUACCUUAUGAUAGCUGCAUCCCUGAGACAUACUUCUUUAGCCUUGUUUGACUUCGUAAAAGGCUCUAAUACUGCCCAUAUGCUUAAACACCAACCCUCUCCCCCCAACUGAGCCUUUAGCAAAAAUUUUCUGUGUACCCAGUUUGCUACAAAUAGUUUAUGUGAGAGGUACGUAUCUGUGAAGGUUUUGGCUUCUUAGUACAAGAGUAAAGUUCAAGGCAAGAUUUGGUGGAUUGCAAGUAACAAAGAAUUGCUAAAGGAAACUUGUGCAAUUAAAAUUAUUAGCAGGUAGAGAAAAGAUGAAAUGGAACUUCCCUCCCAAAAAUUAAUGAAUGAAUGAACAGAGUGUACUCUAAAAAAGUCGUACAAGAAUUUGUGUUAUUUCUAUU